rnacentral:rRNA from 1 species
UACGAAGGGGGCGAGCGUUAUUCGGAAUUACUGGGCGUAAAGCGUGCGCAGGCGGUCUUGUAAGCCAGAUGUGAAAUCCCCGGGCUUAACCUGGGAAUGGCAUUUGGGACUGCAAGGCUCGAGUGCGGCAGAGGAGACUGGAAUUCCUGGUGUAGCAGUGAAAUGCGUAGAUAUCAGGAGGAACACCGAUGGCGAAGGCAGGUCUCUGGGCAUUAACUGACGCUGAGGAGCGAAAGCAUGGGGAGCGAACAGG